GGAGCUACCACGCAACACACGUUUACCUCGACUGUCACGUAUAUGUGUCUCGGGUUGAGUUGAGGGAUCUAUGAGGACAGGGCCAAUUUGAAUUGUCCGUCCACCGGGAUGGUGGCAUAGUAUCAAGCCUCCUAACCAAGUACUUCAGAGUUAGAAUGGUACCACAUUGUGAAGUAGAGUCUAAGUUCAUGCAUAGCAUUGCAUUUUAUUGUGAUUGUGUUUGUUGUGAUUAAUAUGUAUCGUGUGUGGUGAUAAUUUCUCUUAGAUGAUUUGAUGUUAUAGUGAGAUUUAUUGAUUUCCCUUGAGUGAUCUUGACUUUUUAAUGUGAUAUUUUCUUGAUGGGAUGUUUGUGCAAUGAUACGGUUCUAUUAUGAUUGUUUGCGUGUUCUUCUUACUUGUAUUAUACUGCCAUCAUGUUUUCAAAACUCACCUCCUUCAUUGUUUGUGUUUGACUGGUUUGGCCCUGCGUUUGCGAAAUCGCAGUUAUUACAGUUUAAUGAAUCUUGAAGUUCAAGUUUGGGAGGAACCACGCUCUGAUAGGUGAUACCGGGAAUAAGGGAUUAAGUUGUAUUUUAUUUCUUUUAAUUUGAAAUGAAUUUUUGUAUGAAUAUCUAAGAAGUACUAGUAAGUUUUUAGAAUUAAAUCAAUUAAUUAUACUUAAUUCAAGCUUAUUGAGAUUGCACUAUGGAGUAAAGAAGUUAAAUGUUGGAGAGUUUCAAGUAACAGGACCAUAUGUUUCAAUUAGUGCAUAUGCUGCCUUUUUAAAUCCACGUAAUAAAAUGGUUUUCCGUUUUCAUAGUUUAUUCUCUUCGUAACUAUAUUAAACAAAACAAAAGUGAGGCACAAUCACCCCUCCACCGUCACAUUCUGUUAUCAUCUUGUUUCCUGCAUUAAUAUCAUUCCUUCUCAUAAUCAUGAACUCUAAUUAUUCACAGGCUACAGGACUCAAGGGUGAAGUUGCUACUGAGCAAGCUGCCAAGAGACCUAAAACGAGCAUGGCAUCCGAUGUUGCCAAACUGGCUUCUCCUCAAUCGUCUGAUGCUGAUAUUGGUAUGUCAUCUCCACAUGCAGAGUCAACAGUGGAUAAGAAUAAACAGCUGGUUAAUGCCGUUUCCCAAAGUCCUAAACCAAGUACGAGAUUACAAGAACCUACAGGCUUGAAGCAGUCAAUUCAACCAUUAGUGUCUGUAAAUAGAUACAAACUGGAUAAUCGUCCGACUGCAUUUAGAAUCAUCCCACCUUUGCCAGUCGGUCUAGCAAAUGUAAGUUCUCUCUCUAUCUUACGUGUCUGUACUUAUUGAAAGGAGAAUUUUGCAAUGGCUCAUGUUGUUUGUUUUACUUAUUUUGAGACUGUCACUUGACUGAAGCUUCCCCUGUUGGAUUUGGACAUGCACUGUCAUGUGUGAAUAGUAGGCAUCGGAUUAAAAUAAGUGUCUAUAAUAUAUAUUGGAUUGGGUUUUAAUUUUUAAAAUUUAAAUUCGAAGACUUAUAGUAUUGUAGUUUGUGGGACUGGUCCACUGCAAGUUCAUUUGGAUAAAUUACUCACUGCAGCUGCCACUGCAAGUUCCUUUUUCUUAUUUUCCAUUUCCUGAUUUGGCCUUGGGUAUCGUUUGGGGUCUUUCUUAAGUUUUGCACCAGAAUACUAUUUUAAGUGGUCACGAUCCUUAUGAAGUUGAUCAUGACUCAUGAGUUAAUUUGGACUUCUACUGUUAGAAUAUUAGAAAAUAUCUUAUAAUAUCUAUUAUAUUAUAUUAGAGUAUUUUGGGUUAUUUUUUAAGAUCAAUUUAUAAUCAUAGAGAUAUCUUAAAAUAUCUCUCAUUAAUAUUAUUAUGAUUUAUUCCUGAUUUAGGAUUGAAUCUAUGUUUCUCUAUAAAUAGAUUAGUAUUGAGUCUUUUGUAAUCAAGUCAGCAUUAAGCUAUUAUCAAUAAUAUUCAAACUCUUAUUAUUUUCUCUCCUCCUUUUCUCUAAAAUUCCACAACUUCAACAUGGUAUCAAAGCCUAUUUCGAUCCUCCUUGAACGAUCCCGCCUCUAUUCUGCUGUCGAAUUCCCAACAAUUAGGGAAUAUAAUCAUAGUUUCUCUUUUCCAAUAUUCCAACACGAUUUCACCAUAUGUCUCUCAUUUUCUCUUAUUAAGAGAGACAAGCCUGUACCGCGAUUACCCCGGGACCCACUGUCUUUCGGUGAAAUUUUUUUUCCAAUAAACAGUGUCCCAAUUCCGGUUUACCCUUUCUUUGUAGCUUUUCGUUGAUUUUUCAGCACAUCAGUCGCAACACUGUUCAUUGCGCGCGGUACUGUUCAUCUUCAUCGGAAAAACCCUCUUCAACCAUUGGUUUUAGGUAAUUUCUUAUUGAUUAUGGCUACUUAUGAAAAAAAAUUCUCGGUGGGUAGAGUAUUGUCAGAACUCGAGUUCCGCUGUUUCGGUCGCACAAAGUGGUAAUUCACCUGCUUACAUCUCACCUUCUCAUAGCCCAUGGAUUCUCGAUUCUGGUGUAUCUGACCACAUCACUGCUUAUGGAAAGGCUAUGCAAGAAGCGGGGGGCUGGUUUUGUGUGGGGAAUCUCAUAUAUCUUGAUGACUAUUUGCUUACAUGCAAUGUUAGUAUUAACCUAUGUGGCAAAUAGCAUUGGCUAUGUAGGUAAAGGUCUACCACAACCAACAAACAUUAUGGUCGCAAUGAUAGCAAUCUUUACCAUUCUUGGGUUUCCACUGGCAAUCACUUAAAGUGUUCCAUAUGCCUUGAUUUGGGACUUGGUCAAUGGUUAUUAUUAAUGGGUGUCAUGAAUCUAGGAAUAGUGGUCCCACAUAUUGUCAUGUACUUGGGAAGUGGACCGUGGGAUCAGAUUUUUCGGGCAGGAAACUCUCCAGCCUUUGUCGUGGCAGCUGUUGCAGUCCUUAUGAGUGGGCUCUUAGCUGACAGGUUUGGAAGAUUUGCAAUUCAAUUGAUGGGAUACUUCUUGGUGCACGAUUAUUCUCUCUUUGAUGCUUCCAGAUCUACCCUUACUCUCCAAUUUUGAUCAACGGAAAUGUGUCAUUGUACAAACAGCCGUUAUCUCACUUGUUUUAGACGCAUUUUCUUAUUCUGUUGAUCGAUCAUGACUUCCUUUCGUUAGAGUCGCGGUGCUUCUUCUUCGGUGUUUGUCAUGCAAUUUAGUUAUUAUUAAUAGAUUAUAAUAGUGGUUUAUAUUCCCACCGAUGAUCAUUCUGGUGGUGUCCCUUUUUUCAUAUAUGACUUAUAUUAGGGAUGACUUCUUCUGUUGGUGGUUAUUCUAACGGUGUCUUUUAUUUUCAUGACUUACUUUAUCUUAGCAAUUUGUCUCAAAUGCACUGGCAUUGUCUUUCUCUUCUUGAAGCACGCCUCUCUCUCUUUGAAGCAGAUUGAAGUUUAAAUAUUUUGAGUCUCCAUUAUUAUUGGUUUGAAACUUCAAAAUGCAGAUUUUUAGAAGAACGAAGCUUGCUUUGUUCAAUUGCUUGCCAUGAAUUUCUCUCAGGCUGAUGAUCAAUCAGGCUAUCUGGCUAGACUAUAUUUAUAGUAAUUCUCUCCGACUCCACAUGCAUCCCUGAGUUGCCUCUCCAUCUUUUUUAUUAUUUUGUGGAGCAAACCAUUGUUUUCUUGUUGCAAGCUAAAGCUUACUAAGCUUUUGCUUGAGAGAGAGUGUUAGAAUAUUAGAAAAUAUCUUAUAAUAUCUAUUAUAUUAUAUUAGAGUAUCUUGAGUUAUUUCCUAUGAUCAAUUUAUAAUCAUAGAGAUAUUUUAGAACUAUCUCAUUAUUAUUAUGAUUUAUUCUUGAUUUAGGAUUGAGUCUAUGUUCCUUUCUAAAUAGAGAUCAGUAUUGAGUCUUUUGUAAUCAAGUCAACAUUAAACUAUUAUCAAUAAUAUUCAAACCCUUAUUAUUUUCUCUCCUCCUUUUCUCUAAAAUCCCACAAUUUCAACAAAAACCUACAAGACUACCAAGCUAGCCUGUCCUAACUUAUGAUUGCAGUCCACGAACCUUAUGAAAAAAGUACUUUUUUGUGGAAUUCAUUAUUCCAUCUUUUUUUUUAAUAAAAAAAGAACAUAAAUUGUGUUCAAAUAAUUAAAUAUAUCAUGAUUGCAGAAGUCUAUCUAUCGCAUAUAGGCUUAAAGACAUCGUGGCAUAACUGGCAAGGUGGUGUCUUGACCUAAAAGAUCAAAUGGUUACUUUGUUAGCUCUUCUUAUCGUGUCAAACCUUAAAACCCAAUGGCGAUAAUAUCUUCCUCUAGAAUUGUUUUUGAAUAACAAAUAUUAGAUGAGAAAAUUUAUUAGGGAGGGGUUUGGAGGAGCUAAUGUGGACUUUUCUAUUGAAUAUGCGCGUACGUAAGGAAGAUGUUUUUAGCUUAUUUUUUCAAGUUUCCUUUAAUAGGUUAUAAAAAUAGCUCAUACAGAGCUUAUGCAGAGGUUAUCCUUAUUUCCUCUUUGAUUGUAGAAAUAACUUGUACAUGAGCGCUUAUUGAAUAAGCCAUCCAAAUACCCCUAAAGAUCAUAUAUAUUCAUAUGAGAAUAAAGUCAUUUUUAUGGUUGAUUGUUUGUAAGUCUGUAUUUAUAUGGCCAUUUUGUCUUUAUAUGUGCUACUAUAUCAUUAUCAAAUGCAACAAUCAAUUUUAAUCUUAUUGGACUUUUGCUUUAACAAAAUUGCUGUCUUGUAGGUUACUGCUUUAAAGGAACACUUUUGCCCAUAUGGUGAACUUUCUUCUGUAGAGCUAGAAGAUGUCCAAGUCAAUGAUAGUAGCCAACAAGAGGCGCGUCUAAACUUCACUACUCGUGGAGCAGCUGAACAGGCAUUUAUAAAAGGUAAAUGCUGGAAAGACCAUAACCUGAGAUUCAUGUGGAUGACACCUACCAAUUCUGGCAAUGCCACUGUUAGUAGAGAACGUUCUCUAUCUGUUCCUCCCAGCGAGCCCUUAGAUACAGACAGCCAUUCUGAAGAGAAAUUGGAAAACUCUGUAAACCACCACGAAUCAGUUGUGCCUGAUGGUGAGCAUAAAGAUUCUGAAACUAAAAAUGGUUUGGAGCUUAUGGAAACUGAACCAGGUGAAGAUCAACACUGUACCACCUGUCAAGUUUCUUCUGCAAAACAAUCACCCGAGCGCAAUGUCUGUUGAGGAUCUACUAAUGAUCGGAUUUGUACAGCGAGGUAAAAUUUUAAAGCUAUCAAACUCUAAUUUUCGGGAGCAUUUUUUCCCUUUCAAUUUCUAAAAUAUUAUUAUUUGAUGUUCCUUUUGUUAAUGUUCAAGACAUGUAAAUUUCCUUCUAUUUUGCCGCCUCCUGUAUUUGGCGGUAUUAGUCGAAUGGUGCAUCAUGUUAUUUCUCAGCUUUUGGAUAGUUCUUUAGUAGGAUCAAAGUUUUGAAGAUCAAAAUUAAUGUUAAAAGCCAUUGAACGGUUACUUGACAAAUAUUUGGGAACCCCCUUUCCUUUGUAGCAACAGUAGAAAAAUAUAAUUUUAACUCCAUCCUUGAAACGUUAUUCCUUUUAUUUCUACGUUUAUUUUCACUCACAAAAAUAAUUUAUUUAGUUAAAUAAUAAAGAAGGAUAAAAUUACAAAUAAAAUAGUUUAAAUGAAUGUAAAAUUAGAAGAAAAAUGUCACAAAUUUGGUAUUCUCUAUAUCUAUAGUUAUGAUUAUUAUAAACCCAUCAGAUUUUCUCAUUGGUAUAAGACUAUUCCUUUUUUUUGGGUCAAAGUAUAAGCCUAUUCCUUAAAUGUCAUAUAAUGAAUUGUUCGAUCAAGCAUGUUAAUUUUUUAAACUAUCUUUUGGUGUUUACGAUACACAUUUUUUUUAACAAUGGGAGAUUUUGAUUAGCGUGGAAAUGCUGAAUAUUAUGAGAGAUGUUUGUAAAAAAUAGAUAAUAAUAUGUAGUGAUAUCUAACACUUACAAAUUGUAAUUACCUAGUUUUUUAUAUAUAGUCAUUCAAUUGUUAAUCGGUUAAAUUCUAUAUAUUUGUGCAUUUUUCUGUUUCUUGGGUAAAUCUUUGGUAGUAAAUAGUUUUUUCUCUUUGCCCAAAAAGUUUGGUUUAAUAUUGAUAAAAAUAAAAAGGUUCAAAUCCCUAUUGAAAAGUGAUGUACUUUUCAUCUCUCAACUUCUGAAAUAUGUUAUUUGUUGUCUUUGAAAUUCGAUUUUUGAGAAGUGAUGUAUUUUUUUCCUCUUGACUUCUGAAAUAUGUUAGCUUUGGUUUUUCACUUUAGUUUGAAUUUUUUUUUGGUUCUCUAUGAAUAUAUCCUUUUUAGUCAUUGUACACUAUUUUUUGUUUUGUUUUAGUUCUUACAAUUAUUUCUUUUUUUGUCUUUGAUUGUUUUGUUUUAGUCCUUUUGAUAUUUGUUCAUGGUGAAAAUAGUUCUUGUUAUACAUGGAUCGUGUUGAUUUUAGCACACCCGAAAUAUGAAUUAUACAAGGACUAAAAUUAAUAAGAUAUACAUAUUACAAUUAUUAAUUUAGGUGAACAAAUAUUGAAAAAGAAGAAAACAAAAUAGGCUUAAAUUUUACUAACACAUCACAUAAGUUUAUCUAAUCAAACAUAUGUGUAACACCCCAAAUUUUAUAAUAAAUUAUUUCAUUAAUUAAAUAGAUUUUUAAAUAAUUAAUUUGGUGUUAAAAUUAUUUUAAAAUAUAUGUUGAUUAAUUUUGGAAUUAAUUUUCUUUAUAUAUGGCCUUUCUAUGAUCUACUAAUUACAUAUUAGACUAAAUGCAUGAUAUAAAUAACAAAUAUUAAUUAUUUUAUAUAUUUUUAUAAAAAUAAUACUAUUUUAGUGUAAUAAUUUAAAUAAUAAGAUUUUAGACAAUUUAACGUGUAUAUGCGUGUAUCUAGUAAAUGUGAUAUUUUUUUGUGAGUUUGAAUGAUGUUAAGUGUACACAUAGUUAUACUUCAAUUUUUUUUUAACUGGUUUAUAUUUUUAGUUAUUUAGUUGAUAAAUAAUCAUUUUGAGAUGCUAGUACAAUUGCAAUUGAUUUCCUAUAUUUUUAUAUCUUUGUUAUGAUACUAUGAUUUUAUAUAUAUUUAUUAUAAUUUAGUAAUUAAUAUAAAGUUUAGAUGUUAUAUUUAUUUGUUUUAUAAUUUUGAAUACUUCUGAUGGUAGUAUUUUAAUGUGAGUAUUUAGAUGAAAAAAAUAUGUAAUUAGAGUAAUUAUUUUAAAUAUGAGAGUCUUGGUUAUUAAUGUAUUUUAAAAUAUUAAUUAUUUUAAUCACUUUAUUUUAUAAAAUAUUAGUUUCAAAAUAUUAGUAAUAUUUUAGUAAUGGAAUUUUAUUAAAAAAAUAAAGUAUUAAAGAAAAUAAAUUUUGCUAAUCAUUGGUUUUAUAAAAAAAAAUAGAAGAAAUGAGUAAAAUGUGUUUUAUUGGUUAAGCUCAUAUACAAGAGUAACAAUUAAUAAUAAUAAUAAUAAUAAUAAUAAUAAUAAUAAUAAUAGUAAUAGUAAUAUUAAUAUUAUUAAUAAUAAUAAUAAUAAUAAUAAUAAUAAUAAUAAUAAUAAUAAUAAUAGUAAUAAUAAUAAUAAUAAUAAUAAUAAUAAUAAUGAAAACAUAAAAUACGAUAAUAAAAAGGAAAAGGAAGACCGAGCCAUCUUCUUCUCCUUCGAAUAUACCCUUGCCGCCAUUCCUAUUUCUUUUCUAUGUUCUCUCUUCAAUUAUGAUCGUUAUAGUGGGUGUUGUGCAAAACCGAGACCACAUUUGUGAUAGUUGUGAUCUCUUCUUUCAUUUUCAACUUGAAUCGCAAACUUAAACGCCCUAUUCCUCUUUGCCAAAAAUCACAUCACCACCUUUUGAUCAAGAUUUCGGCCACCACGACUAUCACCAACGAAAACCAAGACCAUAUUUGAACUCCACGAAACACCCUCUUCUGUUACCUAUGCUCGAAAUCGCCAACCGUUACAUUUUAAAAAAUGGGUUUCCACCAUUGUCGUGGCUGUUUUCUUGAAUUCUGGACAACACGUUCAUCGUCUUGAAAAACUGAUAUCGUUUUUAGAUUCCUCUCGUCGAAACCUUCAAGAAGCACUAAUCAUUCGUCAAUUUCGGGGAAGUUGAUGUCGGACCCUGUCGGUGCUCCAACACUUCGGUGAGGCCUUUUCUGAUAACUUGUUUCACUUCGUUUCAAAUAUGUUUAUUCUCUUAAUAUUUUUAUUAAUUAUGUGACAUUGAUUUUUAUAGUCCGCGUAAAUUAUCAACCAUGUUUCAUUGACUCUACAAAUUCGUCGAUGCUUUUGGACUCGUCGUUGCGUGUUGUCGACAUCUCAUGGUUGCUGAAAAUCAUUAUGGUCCUUAUAUCUUAUGAAAGCGUCAAAUUGAGGUAUGGAGUGAGAGUGAGUUCGAAUGCAUGAGUAUAAAUUAAGUGAGAUGAACGGGAAUACCGUAUUUCCCACAAUUUAUUCGGGGCUCGCUACGUAUGGCAGAAGCCCUUUGAGUAAUAAUUGACUAAUGAGCAAACUUGAAUUUUGUGAGGUUAAAAUGUGAAUUAGAAACAUUUAUAGGAUGUUGUUUGAUUUAAUUUUUGAAGAUCGUGUGAUAGUUGAAUUAUUGUAUAAUUGUGUAUUUGAUGCAUUUUGUGCCUUGUUUAUUACUAUCCUUGAUAUUGAUAUAUGAUAUAAAAUGUGAUGAAUUGUAAUUAUUUGCCUUGCAAUUGAUGUGAUGUGUGUGAACGAUCUAGUAUUAUAUUUAUUAUAUGUGAGUGAAGACCCUUUAUUGUUUGAGAUGACGUAUUAUGAUGAUAAAAUCUGCAAUGACGAUGUGUACUCCUUGACUUGUGAUAUUACCACCUUGAUGAAUAUCAUGAAAUGCGUAUUGUGUUUAAUUGAAUAGUGACAAAUUCGACCCGUGCCAAUGAUGGUUCUCUUAAUGGAGUAAGUAACCUAGGGCAACGAGGGGAGAACGUAGUUGUUGAUAAUUUUUAGAGUAGAGAUUAUUUGGUCAUCAUAUAGGUAGGGCCUGACAAGCCUAGUGAUUAUGGGGAAGUACAACUGAAUGAGCCUGAUCGUGGCGGUCUGCUGUUGAGCCUUAGGGCAAGAUUGUUAGACCUUGGAGGUAUUCGGGUGGGGAAUUCUUAAGUGACUUAGAGGUAGCACUCCAAAUGUCGGGAGCUACCAUGCAACACACGUUUACCUCGACUGUCGCGUAUAUGUGUCUCGGGUUGAGUUGAGGGGAUCUAUAAGGACAGACCUAGGACAACGAGGGGAGAAAGUAGUUGUUGAUAAUUUUUGAAGUGGAGAUUAUUUGGUCAUCAUAUAGGUAGGGCCUGACAAGCCUAGUGAUUAUGGGGAAGUACAACUCUAUGAGCCUGAUCAUGGCGGUCUGCUGUUGAGCCUUAUGGCAAGAUUGUUAGACCUUGGAGGUAUUCGGGUGGGGAAUUCCUAGGUGACUUGGAGGUAGCACUCCAAAUGUCGGGAGCUACCAUGCAACACAUGUUUACCUCGACUGUCGCGUAUAUGUGUCUCGGGUUGAGUUGAGGGAUCUAUGAGGACAAGGCCAAUUUGAAUUGUUCGUCCACUUGCGUGGUGGCAUAGUAUCAAGCCUCCUAACCAAGUACUUCAGAGUUAGAAUGGUACCAAUGAAAGAGGAGGAGUCUAGAGUAUAAGAGCAUGCAUAACAUUACUUGAUUUGUGUAUUUACUUACUUGAUGUUGUGGAUUGUAUCAAUGUUUUACCUUGAUUAUUCAUGUUGGUUGUGAUUUGAUAUGAUACGGUGUUUAAUAUUUUUUAC
rnacentral:lncRNA from 1 species